AUAAAGCGGGUGAAAAGCCCGCUCGCCGGAAGACCAAGGGUUCCUGUCCAACGUUAAUCGGGGCAGGGUGAGUCGACCCCUAAGGCGAGGCCGAAAGGCGUAGUCGAUGGGAAACAGGUUAAUAUUCCUGUACUUGGUGUUACUGCGAAGGGGGGACGGAGAAGGCUAUGUUGGCCGGGCGACGGUUGUCCCGGUUUAAGCGUGUAGGCUGGUUUUCCAGGCAAAUCCGGAAAAUCAAGGCUGAGGCGUGAUGACGAGGCACUACGGUGCUGAAGCGACAAAUGCCCUGCUUCCAGGAAAAGCCUCUAAGCAUCAGGUAACAUCAAAUCGUACCCCAAACCGACACAGGUGGUCAGGUAGAGAAUACCAAGGCGCUUGAGAGAACUCGGGUGAAGGAACUAGGCAAAAUGGUGCCGUAACUUCGGGAGAAGGCACGCUGAUAUGUAGGUGAAGCGACUUGCUCGUGGAGCUGAAAUCAGUCGAAGAUACCAGCUGGCUGCAACUGUUUAUUAAAAACACAGCACUGUGCAAACACGAAAGUGGACGUAUACGGUGUGACGCCUGCCCGGUGCCGGAAGGUUAAUUGAUGGGGUUAGCGGUAACGCGAAGCUCUUGAUCGAAGCCCCGGUAAACGGCGGCCGUAACUAUAACGGUCCUAAGGUAGCGAAAUUCCUUGUCGGGUAAGUUCCGACCUGCACGAAUGGCGUAAUGAUGGCCAGGCUGUCUCCACCCGAGACUCAGUGAAAUUGAACUCGCUGUGAAGAUGCAGUGUACCCGCGGCAAGACGGAAAGACCCCGUGAACCUUUACUAUAGCUUGACACUGAACAUUGAGCCUUGAUGUGUAGGAUAGGUGGGAGGCUUUGAAGUGUGGACGCCAGUCUGCAUGGAGCCGACCUUGAAAUACCACCCUUUAAUGUUUGAUGUUCUAACGUGGGCCCCUUACCGGGGUUGCGGACAGUGUCUGGUGGGUAGUUUGACUGGGGCGGUCUCCUCCUAAAGAGUAACGGAGGAGCACGAAGGUUGGCUAAUCCUGGUCGGACAUCAGGAGGUUAGUGCAAUGGCAUAAGCCAGCUUGACUGCGAGCGUGACGGCGCGAGCAGGUGCGAAAGCAGGUCAUAGUGAUCCGGUGGUUCUGAAUGGAAGGGCCAUCGCUCAACGGAUAAAAGGUACUCCGGGGAUAACAGGCUGAUACCGCCCAAGAGUUCAUAUCGACGGCGGUGUUUGGCACCUCGAUGUCGGCUCAUCACAUCCUGGGGCUGAAGUAGGUCCCAAGGGUAUGGCUGUUCGCCAUUUAAAGUGGUACGCGAGCUGGGUUUAGAACGUCGUGAGACAGUUCGGUCCCUAUCUGCCGUGGGCGCUGGAGAACUGAGGGGGGCUGCUCCUAGUACGAGAGGACCGGAGUGGACGCAUCACUGGUGUUCGGGUUGUCAUGCCAAUGGCACUGCCCGGUAGCUAAAUGCGGAAGAGAUAAGUGCUGAAAGCAUCUAAGCACGAAACUUGCCCCGAGAUGAGUUCUCCCUGACUCCUUGAGAGUCCUGAAGGAACGUUGAAGACGACGACGUUGAUAGGCCGGGUGUGUAAGCGCAGCGAUGCGUUGAGCUAACCGGUACUAAUGAACCGUGAGGCUUAACCUU
rnacentral:rRNA from 1 species